CUCACUGGGGCAGCCUUGGCAGGGUCAGAGCAGGUCAUCUUAGAGAAGCAUCACAAUGGUGCUUCCACCACCACACAGAAGGACUGUGAGGCACGCCUCACAGCAGCCAUGCCCCAGGGAUUUGGCAUUGGUACCUCUGACAACUGAUACCACAAGCUUAUUUGGACUAUACCUGUCCAGCACAAGAGAUCUCAUCCCUGCCCAUUUACCAGGACCUGUGCCAGCAGAACAGGAGGGGCAGUGCUGGCACUGGGCUGCACGAUCACAUUAGAGAUCCUGAGAGUGAGGAGAGGAGAAGCCAGGAGGUUAAAUAUUCUGGGUGACCACAACUGCAAGCACUUAUGGAGAGCCGGGGUCUCUGCAAGAUCAGGCUCGGGGCAUGUGAAUAUCUGCCGACAGUAGGACAGAUGACACUGGCCUUUUGCAUCUGGAAUGGACCCUUCCCUUGCUCGACCCCCGUUUUCCUUCCAACCUCCUUCCAUAACACUCCUAGAGACACUACUCUUGAGUGUGAACUCUUUUCCCUGGGUGCAAUGAAGAUGACCAAGGGCUGCUGGGAUGUGCGAAGCACCAGGAGAGAAGUGAAAUGGUCUUCUUCAGAGUCUGGCUCUUGCCUCCACUUUGCCCACUGCCCACCAGUCAUGAAGGAUAUGCUAAGCUCAUCUAGCAGUACACACAUUCUCUGCUGGCCUGGGACAGUUCCCUGGGUCUCUGAGACCCUUCCGAUUGUGCCUCCAGCAGAACCUUUUCUCAUGCCCAUUCCUCCCAGCGUGGAUCAAUAGUCUCAAUGUGUUUGAAAGC